rnacentral:misc_RNA from 1 species
UUCCGUAGGUGAACCUGCGGAAGGAUCAUUAAAAAAUAUCACAUUUGUUUGUGAUUUAAUAAUCAUCCUACCCUUUGUGAAUUUGUUUUUGCUUGAAUUUAUGUUGUAUAUCCUGGAUUAUGAAAGAAAAGUUGUAAAAGACUUUUUUUUCAUUCUAGGGAAUAGGCUUUCAUAGACAUUUUUUUAAAUUAAACUUUUGUAUUCAUUUGUCCAAAAUUUAUUUUUAAAUAAUUUAAAAACAACUUUUGACAAUGGAUCUCUUGGUUCUCGCAACGAUGAAGAACGCAGCAAAAUGCGAUAAGUAAUGUGAAUUGCAGAAUACGUGAAUCAUCAAAUUUUCGAACGCAUAUUGCACUUUUUAGUUUACUAAAAAGUAUGUCUGUUUGAGUAUCAGUAAAAUAUUCUCAUAAAAACUAUUGUUUUAUGGUUAUGAGUGUUUUACAACGAUAACAAGUUGUUUUACUUUAAAUUGAUUUUUUUAAUAAGCCAAUUUGGUUUUAUUUUAAAAUUGGAUAAAUUUUCCCGUAAAAAGGAAUAAACUUUUCAGUUUUAAAGUUAAAACUUAAAUUGACCUACAAAAAGGAAAUUUAAUUAUAAAACUAACUUGAUCUCAAAUCAGAUAAGAGUACCCGCUGAACUUAAGCAUAUCAAUAAGCGGAGGAAAGAAACUAACAAGGAUUCCCUUAGUAACGGCGAGUGAAGCGGAAGAGCUCAAAUUUGAAAUCUUCAAGUUCUACCUUGACGAAUUGUAGUUUAAAGAAGUGUUUCUGUUAGUGGAGUGGCAAAGUUCUUGGAAUAGACAUCAUAGAGGUGAGAAUCCGUAUUUGGUCAUUCCUUCUAGCUUUGUGAUACACUUUCAAAGAGUCGAUUGUUUGGGAAUGCAGUCCAAAAUGGGUGGUAAAUUUCAUCUAAAGCUAAAUAUUGGCGAGAGACCGAUAGCGAACAAGUACCGUGAGGAAAGAUGAAAGAACUUUGAAAAGAGAGUUAAACAGUACGUGAAAUUGUCAAAGGAAGCGUUUGACACCAGUGUUGUUUUCCGAAAUCAAUUAUAAUGUUUGUUUCUGAGGAGUGAUAACUUCAUCGGCUUCCUUCUCUCUUCACGAAACUUUUGUAAUGCACUUUUCGGUUAACAAGUCAACAUCAAUUUCUUUUGUUGUAAAAGAGUAUUCGGAAGGUGCUUUCUUUCGGAGUAAGUGUUUAUAGCCUAUACUUCUACAAUCGGAGAGAUUGAGGUCUGCAGCGUAGAUCUUCGGGUUAGAUACACUUGUGCUAAGUUAUAGCUUUCAUAGACAACUUGUUGACUAUG